rnacentral:rRNA from 1 species
UACGAAGGGGGCUAGCGUUGCUCGGAUUUACUGGGCGUAAAGGGCGCGUAGGCGGAUAACCAAGUUGGGGGUGAAAUCCCGGGGCUCAACCUCGGAACUGCCUCCAAAACUGGUUGUCUUGAGUACGGGAGAGGUGUGUGGAACUCCGAGUGUAGAGGUGAAAUUCGUAGAUAUUCGGAAGAACACCAGUGGCGAAGGCGACACACUGGCCCGUAACUGACGCUGAGGCGCGAAAGCGUGGGGAGCAAACAGG